GACGUAGGGGCCAGCGUUGUUCGGAAUUACUGGGCGUAAAGGGCGCGUAGGCGGUGCUCUAAGUCGGAUGUGAAAACUCUGGGCUCAACCCAGAGCCUGCAUCCGAAACUGGAGUGCUAGAGUUCUGGAGGGGGUAGCGGAAUUCCUGGUGUAGCGGUGAAAUGCGUAGAUAUCAGGAGGAACACCGGUGGCGAAGGCGGCUAUCUGGACAGAGUCUGACGCUGAGGCGCGAAAGCUAGGGGAGCAAACAGG
rnacentral:rRNA from 1 species